rfam:Picea glauca, whole genome shotgun sequence.
GGAUGCGAUCAUACCAGCGUUAAUGCACCGGAUCCUAUCAGAACUCCGCGGUUAAGCGCGCUUGGGCUAGAGUAGUACUGGGAUGGGUGAACUCUUGGGAAGUCCUAGUGUUGCACCCU